GCCCCUUAGCUCAACUGGAUAGAGCAACUGACUUCUAAUCAGUAGGUUGUCCGGAUCGUACCCGACAGGACGCA
rnacentral:tRNA from 1 species